UACCAGCACCCCGAGUGGUCGGGACGAUUAUUGGGCCUAAAGCAUCCGUAGCCGGUUCUGCGAGUCCCCCGUUAAAUCCAGCUGCUCAACAGAUGGGCCGCGGAGGAUACUCCAGAGCUAGGAGGCAGGAGAGGCAAGCGGUACUCAGUGGGUAGGGGUAAAAUCCGUUGAUCCAUUGAAGACCACCAGUGGCGAAGGCGGCUUGCCAGAAUGCGCUCGACGGUGAGGGAUGAAAGCUGGGGGAGCAAACCGG
rnacentral:rRNA from 1 species